AUUGAACGCUGGCGGCAUGCUUUACACGUGCAAGUCGAACGGUAACAGGCCGCAAGGUGCUGACGAGUGGCGAACGGGUGAGUAAUGCAUCGGAACGUGCCCAGUCGGGGGGGAUAACGCAGCGAAAGCUGCGCUAAUACCGCAUACGAUCUAUGGAUGAAAGCGGGGGACCGUAAGGCCUCGCGCGAUUGGAGCGGCCGAUGUCAGAUUAGGUAGUUGGUGGGGUAAAGGCUCACCAAGCCAACGAUCUGUAGCUGGUCUGAGAGGACGACCAGCCACACUAGGACUGAGACACGGCCCAGACUCCUACGGGAGGCAGCAGUGGGGAAUUUUGGACAAUGGGCGCAAGCCUGAUCCAGCAAUGCCGCGUGCAGGAAGAAGGCCUUCGGGUUGUAAACUGCUUUUGUACGGAACGAAACGGUCCGGGUUAAUACCCUGGGCUAAUGACGGUACCGUAAGAAUAAGCACCGGCUAACUACGUGCCAGCCGCCGCCGUAA
rnacentral:rRNA from 1 species